rfam:Sclerotinia borealis F-4128 unplaced genomic scaffold scaffold00372, whole genome shotgun sequence.
AGCAAGUUGGCGCAGUGGAAGCGCGCCGGGCUCAUAACCCGGAGGUCCCCGGAUCGAAACCGGGACUUGCUA